rnacentral:tRNA from 1 species
GGGGAUAUAGCUCAGUGGCGUAAGUGCCUACCUGGUAAGUACAAGGUCCUGAGUUCAAUUCCUGGUAGCCCCC